rnacentral:rRNA from 1 species
UACGGAGGAUCCAAGCGUUAUCCGGAUUCAUUGGGUUUAAAGGGUGCGUAGGCGGAAUGAUAAGUCAGUGGUGAAAUCCUUCAGCUUAACUGGAGAAUUGCCAUUGAUACUGUCAAUCUUGAGUACAUUUGAUGUGGGCGGAAUGUGUCAUGUAGCGGUGAAAUGCUUAGAUAUGACACAGAACACCGAUUGCGAAGGCAGCUCACAAAACUGUAACUGACGCUGAGGCACGAAAGCGUGGGUAUCAAAAAGG